UACGAGGGGUGCAAGCGUUGCUCGGAAUUAUUGGGCGUAAAGGGUGCGUAGGCGGGUUUUUAAGUCAGGGGUGAAAUCCUGGAGCUCAACUCCAGAACUGCCUUUGAUACUGAAGAUCUUGAGUCCGGGAGAGGUGAGUGGAACUGCGAGUGUAGAGGUGAAAUUCGUAGAUAUUCGGAAGAACACCAGUGGCGAAGGCGACUGACUGGACAAGUAUUGACGCUGAGGUGCGAAAGCGUGGGGAGCAAACAGG
rnacentral:rRNA from 1 species